CCUUUCUCCAAUUUGAGCGUGUCAGAGUUCCCUAAGAGCCUCAAUAAGACUCCAGGCAGUGUUUACACCCAAACUGCAUCAACAGAAUAGGGACAAGUGAUGUUUGGAAGUGUCAGCCCUCAUGUGUCCAAGUUCAGAGAAAGCUCAUGGGUCCCAAGGCAAGGACCACAUGAGAGGGGUGGAACUUAAGUCUAAGAGAGAGUGCAAGUGCAAAAAUAGAGCUUUAAGAAGUAAGGAAUUAAAGAAGAGAGAAAGAGGUGCUGGGAAACAGCCAUUAACACUUCAAACAAGUUGAUAAUUUCACACCAAAGGGGUUCAGGGGUUGGGAGUGAAGAGCCUAUGUAUUUAGGCAAGAGUCGAUUCUGGGCAUAUAUAGCAAAGGGGUGUUGUCAUGCGUGAAAAUCAACCAGAACACAUAACAUAUAAAGAUAACCUGGAGGUCAUGAUCCUAGAAGGACCAAGUUUGAGUCAUGUUUAGCAAUAUUUGAUGUUGUCAUGCCCCAAACAAACCACAAGCAUCAAACACAUUGGGGUAGGGGUUUAGGAUUCAUAAUGCAUUAAUUAAGAACAGGAUAAAGGAAAUUAUAGCAUGCUAAAUAAAUGUAUUGAAAUAGAUACAAGCAGUAAGCAGACAAGAAUGCAAGAAUAUAAAGUAACCAUGUUGUUGUUGGUAGUAAAAAUUAGUUAGAACAUACCAGUCAAAGAAGCAAAAAUGCAAUAAGGAAAAGUAGUAGGACUUCGAAAUAUAGCUUUGGCUUUCAUCCAGCUAUAUAGGCCAUAGUAUAAUUAGUAAAGCAAGAGGGAACGUUUUGAGUGUAAGUAUGAGUUCAGAAAAAGUGUUCGCCCUUGUGCUAACGAAAGAGCAAGGUACUUAUAGUUUGAAAACAGGUUGAAUUAAGGCAAGAAUCAUAAUUCAGCAGUAUUUAUGGAACUAUGUGCUAAUUAAAAUCAAAUCAAUAUACUUGCUUUCUUUAAUAAAGGAGUUAUAUUUAAACGUUAAUGGGUAGAAAAUAUUCAAGGAAAGAAAACAAGUAGAGCAUCAUAUGCAGAAUAGACAAUUAGGGGUAAGUACAUAGAGGUUCAAUUAAGGGAACAACUAAUGGAGAAUCCUUGAAAUACUUGGUUAACCUAACAAGGUAAGAAAACAAAAUAAAGUUUCAGAAUAUGGAGGUAAUCAAAAAUCAGCAUAUAGUAAAUCAAGGAUUUCCAAAGUUAAAAAUAGAAGAGUCGAAAGUCUAAAGGGAAGUUUUCAAAUCAAGCCAAGAAACAGGGAAAUCAGUAAGGCGAAAUAAGGAAAAAAUCAAUUACUUAACAUACAAGUGCAAUCAAAAUUACACAAGGAAUGGCUUCAAAGCGGUCCAAAAUUGAAGGUCAUUUUAGAGGGGAAUUCAGCAUAUAAAUAGAGUGUAUAAACAUUAGGCAUGCGAACGGCACAGAAAACCAGCAUGCAGUAACAACCACAUUGUUAGUAGACAGUGAACUAUCAAACAUGGUAGUCACAUAGGUCAACUUCAAUAACUUAGUAAUAGAGAAAAGAGAGAGUAUCAAGAGCAAACAAAGGGUCAAGUAAAGGCUCUUCUGAAAAAGCAUAGUCGAGUUUCAAUAACAGCAGGAAGUCAAAAUCACAUAAAGAGACAGGUGCUGAAACAAAAAGAUUUUAAAUCCAGUCGAGCAACUUCAAACGGAUGAAGCAGCUUUAGAAGCUCAAAUAGGCUCCAAAGAAAUUAGGGUUUUUGAAACCAUUCGAAUUCAGAGAUGAUGAACAACUAAAUCACACAGCAAAUAGUCUCAGAACUCAAAUGAACCCAAAAUUUUAGGGUUUUCAUACCAAUGAGUCUAGAGAUGAAAAACAAGUAAAUCGAACAAAUACUAACAAAAAAUUAGAUUCAGAAACCUCAAAAGGAAUCAAGGCCCUUAACAAGCAAACUCAAGUAGAAGAAUGAUAUAGGGAAACACAACAAAAACAUGUCAAAUAACUUAACAGAAUACCUAAUCAGAAAAGAUAAAGGUUUUUAAGAUAGAGUUUUAGAAGAAAAUUUGAGAAAAACGUGUAAAAGUUUAUAGAAACACAAAACGAAAAUAGAUCUAAAAGAAAUCGGAAGAACAUUAAAGAUUAGCGUUCCACAAGAACCCGAAGUGGUGAGAAAGGCUUUGAAAACCAUCGGUCUAAGCAGGAGAGUCAAGAGUUAGACUCAAAUAGCCAUGGCUAGCCAGAGAAAAGUCAGAGAUGAUCGGAGAACAACCAUAAAAUGAAAUUGACCAAGGUCUGUACCAAACUUUUCCAGGAUCUAGCCUUAAAAUCAUGAUAAUCGAGCAUGUAGAAACCAUAGAAGCUGAAUUCAGGCUUCCGAUGACCUUGGAAGCGAAUGAUUUGGGAGAUUUUAGGGUUGUAGUCGAGGGCAGCGACUAGGGUUUGAGAGAGGAUUGAGAGAGAAUUGAGAGAGGAAGGGAUUCAUAGGUG
rnacentral:lncRNA from 1 species